GGAGGGGACACGCGGACACCGGCGGACGGGCCUGCUCUCUGCACAAAUGAUGGGAAAGCGUCAGUUAUGAGUUUCACUUCAAUAAGCUGCUGCCUGUGUUGUCGACGCGGUGUUUACUCCUCGGAUACUGAUAACUGGAGGUGAGCCUGAGGAAAGCAGGGAGGAUCAUCCAGUCACACUCUGUUCACACCACUUCCUGCAGGAUCCACUCCCAGCACACUGAGGCCACCAGGCGGCUGAACACUGGACACUUCACUCCAUAUUAUACAUAAAUGGCAUUUUUGCACAAUAUUCAUCUGCUGACUUUCUGUAUAUGUUAUACUUAUGUAUAUACACACAUAUACACAUGUGUAUGUAUAUAUGUGCAUGCAUUCUUUUUAUUUGUACAUACAUUCAUGCCAUUCAUUGCAUUUUUUAUAUAUUUCUUAUAUUUUAUUUAUUUAUUUUUUAUGUUUCUUAUAUUUUGGACACCACUGUUGUUUGUGAAGCUUGCACACAAGAAUCUCACUGACAUGUGCUGCACCAGUGUACCAGUAAUGUGAUGUGACAAUAAAAGUGAUCCGAUCUGA